UACGAAGGGGGCUAGCGUUGUUCGGAAUUACUGGGCGUAAAGCGCGCGCAGGCGGUUCUUCAAGUCAGAGGUGAAAGCCCAGAGCUCAACUCUGGAAUGGCCUUUGAGACUAGAGAACUAGGGUACGGGAGAGGUGAGUGGAACUGCGAGUGUAGAGGUGAAAUUCGUAGAUAUUCGCAAGAACACCAGUGGCGAAGGCGGCUCACUGGCCCGAUACUGACGCUGAGGCACGAAAGCGUGGGGAGCAAACAGG
rnacentral:rRNA from 1 species